rnacentral:rRNA from 1 species
CUACGGGGCGCAGCAGUGGGGAAUAUUGCACAAUGGGCGCAAGCCUGAUGCAGCCAUGCCGCGUGUAUGAAGAAGGCCUUCGGGUUGUAAAGUACUUUCAGCGGGGAGGAAGGGAGUAAAGUUAAUACCUUUGCUCAUUGACGUUACCCGCAGAAGAAGCACCGGCCAACUCCGUGCCAGCAGCCGCGGUAAUACGGAGGGUGCAAGCGUUAAUCGGAAUUACUGGGCGUAAAGCGCACGCAGGCGGUUUGUUAAGUCAGAUGUGAAAUCCCCGGGCUCAACCUGGGAACUGCAUCUGAUACUGGCAAGCUUGAGUCUCGUAGAGGGGGGUAGAAUUCCAGGUGUAGCGGUGAAGUGCGUAGAGAUCUGGAGGAGUACCGGUGGCGAAGGCGGCCCCCUGGACGAAGACUGACGCUCAGGUGCGAAAGCGUGGGGAGCAAACAGGAUUAGAUACCCUCGUAGUC